CUUUUGUAAUUGUUCUUAAGAAUACUAAGAGUUUUGAAUACUGAAUCCUCUGUCUUCUAAACUACAAUAGCUAUACUCACAAGAGCAAUAUCUCUUUGAAUGACCGGACAAAAGCAGAACAGCGGAGGGACGGGGAAGCUCCCUUUGCAUCUCGCUGUCACUGAGUCGUCUUAAGAAGCUGCACCUGCUAAUUCCCUGAAGUGCAGGUGCAUAUGGAGGCUUUAAGCUUAGCAGGUGUGCAUCCUGUAAGAACAUGCAUUUUUCAUGGAGGUUGGGUUCUAAAUUUAGAGUGCAGUUUAUGUUUUGUAACACACAGUAGAAAUAAAAAGUCAACCAUUGUGACCUGUAAGUGCACAGAAAACGCUCUGUAUAAAAAGUAGCACCCUUACCUUCUAAUGCUAUUUAAGAAAAACUAAAAGAGUAUUUAACUGUGAACCCUGUAGCAGAUGUUUGACAUUUUCUAUCCCAUUACAUCUUGUCUAGAUAUUUUAAUUCAAAGGGAUACUGGCUCUCUUGAUUGGGAUUCCCUGUUGUCACCAUUCCACUUUGCCACGUGGGUGCACAGACUGGAAGUCUUUCGUGAAAUCUCUGUUAAAUACAUACAACCUGUGACUUAGUGCACAACACAUUUGCGAAAUACCCUACUCCUCUAUUCUGCCCUGCCUGUCCACAAUUAAUUGUCAGAGUUUUUGCAUGUACAGUUUUUACAAGAAUUACAGUUUUGUGAAGUUGUGUCCAAAUUAAAGCAUUUCUUUAGAACAAAUGGCCUUAAAUUCUCACAGAAUUCCUGGAAAUGAUUGUGAAUUGCCUUCAAAUAAUAGAAAAGUGUAUUUAUUUUUUCUUUUAUUUGAAUAUUAGAUUUACAGAGCAAGUGGGAAAGGCACACACACAUACCACACACACACACACACACAGAGAGAGAGAGAGAGAGAGAGAGAAAAUGAAUGACCAUGUCUUCUCUUUGUAGGUUCACUCCCUGAAUGACCACACUGGCCAUGGCUGGGCCAGGACAAAGGCAGAAGCCUGGACUUGUCUUGGGACCAAGCAUUUGGGCCAUCCUCUGCUGCUCUCCCAGGUGUACAAGCAGGGAGCUGGGUCAUUAGUGCAACAGCCAGAAGUAGGUCAGCAUUCGGACAGGAUGCCAGCAUCGCAAGAGGCAGCUUAACCCACAGCACCACAAUGCUAGCCCCUCAUAUAUACAUUUCUAUCAAUCCUGCUCUGGAUACAAUGACAAAAAAAAUCCUUCUUAGCUAACAUAAGGCCCGUUUAUCAUGUAACACACACGCUGCUCAAGACGAAAAAUUUUAUCUGUCCCUGUGUCUAUCUAAUGUUCAUUCUUUUAAUGAUUUUAAUUAUGUUUUCAAAUUGUAUUUUGUUGUAAGACCACUUAACAUGAGACCUACCUUCUUAAUUUUCAAGUGUACUGUACAUUUACUAUAGGUACAAGGCUGUACAGCGGGUCUCCAGACUUCAUUCAUAUUACGGAACCUAAACUUUAUUUUCAUUCAUUAGUCAGUCUCAGUUUCCUCCUGCCUUACACCUCAGGCAACCACCAUCCCACUCCUUCAUCCUACAAAUUUGACUGCUUUUGAUAUCACAUCUAUGUGCAAUCAUGAAAUACAUGUUUUUCUUUCUGAAAUUGACUUAUCUAAGUCAGCAUAAUGUUCUCAAUAUUCAUCUCCAUUGGCAUAUAUUACAGAAUCUCAUUCUAUUUUAAGAACUAGCAUUCCAUACAAAUAUAUACAACAUUUUAAAAUUCCAUUCAUCUGUCAAGAUUUUUCCCACUGUAAUGAACAAGGGAGUGUUAGUAUCUCUCCAAGGUUUUGAUUUUAAUUCUUUUGGAUAUUCAGAAGUGACAUCGCUGGAUCAAAUGGUGGUUCUAUUUUUUUUUAAUUUUUAGGGACCUCCAUUCUGUGGUCCUUAUAUUAUGUACCAUUUUGCGUUCCUACCCAGUGGUGCAAGGGUUAUAAUUUCUCCACAUCCUUACAUAUAGUUGUUGCCAUGUGACUUCUUAUAUAACAGCCAUCCUAUCAUGUAUGAAGUGGUUUCUCCUUGUGGUAUCAGCUUGCACAUUCAUGAUGACAUUGAGCAUUUUUUCACACACUUGUUAACGUUUUUAUACCUUAUUUGGGAAAUGUCUUUUCACGUCCUUAGCUCAUUUUAAGAUCAAGUUAUUCAGUCCUUUGCUGUUGGGCUGAAAAAACUCCUUAAGCACUUCAUAAACUAGACUCCUAUCAAAUGCAUGGUUUGCAACUAUUUUCUCUAAGUCUAUAGAUUGUCUAAUUCUGCUCAUUUUUCUUUGUUGUACAAAAAGUUUUUAGUUUACAGUAGUCUCAUUUGUUGGAUUUUUGCUUCUUUUUCUGUGCUUUUGGAAUCAUAUCCAUGAAAUCACUGCUAAAAUCAUUAUCAUGAAAUGUUUCACCUUUUUUUUAAGCAUCAGACCUACAUAGGCUUUUUUUUUUAAAGAUUUAUCUUAUUUUAAAGGCACAGUUACAGAGAGAAAGAAGAGAGGGACAGAGAUCUUCCAUCUGUUGGUUCACUCCCUGUAGGGCCACAAUGGCUGGAGCUGGGUCAAUUUGAAGCUAGGAUCCAGAGCUUGUUCCAGCUCUCCUACAUGGGCGCCCACAUGGGAUGCUGGCGCUUCAGGCCAGGGGGUUAACCCGCUGCACUACAGCGCCGGCCCCAACAACUGACGUUUUUUAUGUUGGCUUUGUAUCUUUCAUUUUACCAAAUUUAUUAGUUCCCACAGUUUCUCAGAGCGUUCUUCUGGGCUUUCUAUUCAUGUUAUCAUGCAAUCUGUAAAGAGCUGAUAUUAUUUCCUUUCAAUCUGAUGGCUUUCCUUUUUCUUGCCUACUUGCUCCCUCUGUUACAAAAUUACAAUUUUAUAUCCUAUAAUUCUAGGAUUAAAUGAAAUGUUUACCAUUCCCAUUUUGCUUCUUAUAUGUUAGUAAGAAAAAAGGAGACAAGGGAAAUACACUUAUGAUUAUGUACAUAAAAUAAGAAAGAAAUUAUGAGUAGCUCUUCAUGAUCUUCAAUUCUACAACUGUAUGCUAAAGGGCAUUCAUGUUACUAAUGCUGAGGAAUUUUACGAACAGUCAUUGUACACUGGAGGGGAACCCAUAGAUGUAAGCCAAGGCCAGAUACAAUGAAAGAGAACAAAGGUGGAUUCGCCAAGACCUAUGCCUAGAAGACAGCCCUGGGUCAUGAUCUCAUUGUGCUUUCUAUACACCAUCAGAACCUGAGCAAAAUGUAGUGUGUGUUCAGGCUAUUAAAUCCAAAACACAAUGAAAGGCAGAGUGCUCUAUGCCAAGGUCCUCUCCAAUUCCCACAGCUCUGUUUUUAAGGGAGGUGUGAACUGGAAAGAAUAAUGAAACUCUCUUCCCAUUUUGUCUAAACUGAAGAUUCUACUCUGAGAUACUCAGAAAAAAUUACUGCACAAUGAAACUGAUUCUGGUACAUCAAUAGCAAGUGCAAACUUUCUCAUAUGCAAGAUUGAAAGUUUCUGCUAACAUCAGUGGUACAUCACCUGAAAGGGGACUGAAUUAGUAACUCUAACAAAGGAAAUUUAAAGUUACCUAACUGAUGUUAGGACCACAGAAUGACUGCUGUAUUAUUAAUUCAUUUAGAAGGUAAGAUUGUUGGGGUCUAGAGGGCAGAGCCACUGGCAGCAACACCGGCAUCUCACAUGGGUGCUGCUUCAUUUCCCACUGCUCCACUUCGAUCCAGCUCCCUGCUAAUGGCCUCUGAAAAGCUCUGGAAGAUGGCCCAAGUGUUUAGUCCCUUGCCAUCCAUGUGAGAGACCUGGAUGAUGUUUCUGGCCCCUGGCUUCAGAAUGGCCCAGCCCAGCCCACGGUGGCCACCUGGGAGCAAACUGGUGGAUGGACAGCAUCUAUCUCUCCUUCUCUUUCACUGUCCCUCUCUUUGUAACUCUGACUUCCAAAACAAACAAACAAACCUUUAAAGAAGGCAAGAUUGAUCAUAGUAUGAAUUAGGAGAUGACAUUAAUUUAAAAAUUCUUAUGACUAUAUGACUUUUUUAUAAAAAAAAAUUUGCAAAAUUUGUUUAUGGUCAUUAAAAACAGCAUCAAUGUAUCUCUUUUAACAUUUCCUAGGGAUUUAGAUUCCUCACAUUUGUGAAUUAAUGUUUAAAAAAUACUCCAUGUCUUCAGUUUAUCAGAAAAGUUUCUAGAAAGAGAUACUAGUUAGAAAUGUGACUUUCACCAUACCUGAGCAAUCGGACCCUUGAAAUUCUGAGAAUCCUAGGGAAGCCUUUCUUUUCCUCUUCCCCAGGAAUGCAGGCUGGCACACUCUUGGGUACUCUGACUUCUUCACUCACAAAUGGAACGUCCUGUUUCCACUCCUUGGCAAAUAUCCUAGGAACCAGUCUAAGUUCUUAUACUCAGCUUCUUUAUCCUCUACGUUUAUAAUACCUGCAACACUGGGCCUAGGGUUAGUCAUCUUCAUUCACUCCCAUUUAGAUGGAUAUUUUGUGGCUUAUGAUUAUGGCAUCUGGAAGUCACAAUGUAUUUAUUAUUUACAUUAAAUGAGCUGCAUGUAAGGAGUGGAAGCUACUAAGCUCUUGCUUGCUAAUUUCAAGAAAAGCAAUCAAACUCUGAUGCUAUGAUCUGUACCUCCAAUUACUCACAUUUUGUUGCAAAUAAAUAAAAAGAUGAAUUUCA
ensembl:lncRNA